ensembl:miRNA gga-mir-7476 gga-mir-7476
UCUUAGCUCAUCUGAUGUGAAGCUGUGCAAGAAAAUAAUUUUUCACAACAGUGGGCUGAAUGC